GCCUUCGUAGUGUAGUGGUCAGCACGCUCGACGCGUACUCGAGAUGUCCGUGGUUCGAAUCUCGGCGAGGGUA
rnacentral:tRNA from 1 species